GAUGAAGAACGCAGCGAAAUGCGAUAAGUAAUGUGAAUUGCAGAAUUCAGUGAAUCAUCGAAUCUUUGAACGCAUCUUGCGCUCCUUGGUAUUCUGAGGAGCAUGCCUGUUUGAGUGUCAUUAAAUUCUCAACUACACUGACUUUGAAUUGGUGUGGCUUGGAUUUGGGGGGAAAAUUGUUGUGGGCUUUUUGUAUAGUCUGCUCCCCUGAAAUUGAUUAGCGGUACCUUUGUGGAACUGUCUACAGGUGUGAUAAUUAUCUGCAUCUGCUGGAAUGCUGCUUUCUAAACCUUACUUGUAUUGACAAUCUUGACCUCAAAUCAGGUAGGACUACCCGCUGAACUUAAGCAUAUCAUAAGCGGAGGA
rnacentral:misc_RNA from 1 species